CACCUCCUGUGGUGCCACCCUGGGAAUUCCUUUUCCUAUCUGCAAACUGCCGGUAUCUCCUGCACUGCUAACUUCCUCUUCUGACUCUCCCAGCGGCUCUUCAGACUCAAUCACCAACUCCGCUCCUAAAGGAUAUUGGGGUUGAGCUUCCUGGUUCAGAUGCUGCUGCCCCGAUUGUGGUCUGGGGGCCCAGGCUGAGCAGCUGCUGCUCCCCCAGCGGGAUCGGGGCUGGGGAGUGACCGUGAGUAAAGCUUCCUCUGUGCCCAGCCAAGAGUCGAGAACAUCCGUCUGCGGGGAAAGAGCCGGGGGGAAUUGAGAUGUGACGUUACUGUCGUGUUCUGACACGUCCCCUUCUUGCCCUGACAGGCUGCAGUGUUACGUCCCAUCCUACCAGGGACCAGGGAAAUGGCUGCCGUGGAGCCAGCUCAGGGGCCGGUGACUUUCGAGGAGGUGGCUGUGUAUUUCACCAGGGAAGAGUGGGCUCUGCUG